rnacentral:rRNA from 1 species
UAGUCCACGCUGUAAACGAUGUCGAUUUGGAGGUUGUGCCCUUGAGGCGUGGCUUCCGGAGCUAACGCGUUAAAUCGACCGCCUGGGGAGUACGGCCGCAAGGUUAAAACUCAAAUGAAUUGACGGGGGCCCGCACAAGCGGUGGAGCAUGUGGUUUAAUUCGAUGCAACGCGAAGAACCUUACCUACUCUUGACAUCCACAGAACUUUCCAGAGAUGGAUUGGUGCCUUCGGGAACUGUGAGAC